UGCAAGCCGAGCGGUAGGGUUUCUUCGGAAACCUGAGAGCGGCGCACGGGUGCGGAACACGUGUGCAACCUACCUUUAUCAGGGGGAUAGCCUUUCGAAAGGAAGAUUAAUACCCCAUAAUAUAUUAGAUGGCAUCAUUUGAUAUUGAAAACUCCGGUGGAUAGAGAUGGGCACGCGCAAGAUUAGAUAGUUGGUGAGGUAACGGCUCACCAAGUCAGUGAUCUUUAGGGGGCCUGAGAGGGUGAUCCCCCACACUGGUACUGAGACACGGACCAGACUCCUACGGGAGGCAGCAGUGAGGAAUAUUGGACAAUGGGUGAGAGCCUGAUCCAGCCAUCCCGCGUGAAGGACUAAGGCCCUAUGGGUUGUAAACUUCUUUUAUACUGGGAUAAACCUACUUACGUGUAAGUAGCUGAAGGUACAGUAUGAAUAAGCACCGGCUAACUCCGUGCCAGCAGCCGCGGUAAUACGGAGGGUGCAAGCGUUAUCCGGAUUUAUUGGGUUUAAAGGGUCCGUAGGCGGAUCUGUAAGUCAGUGGUGAAAUCUCAUAGCUUAACUAUGAAACUGCCAUUGAUACUGCAGGUCUUGAGUGAGAUUGAGGUAGCUGGAAUAAGUAGUGUAGCGGUGAAAUGCAUAGAUAUUACUUAGAACACCAAUUGCGAAGGCRGSUYACYRRRYSWYWRYUGACGCUGAKGKRCGAAAGCGUGGGGAGCRAACAGGAUUAGAUACCCUGGUAGUCCACGCCGUAAACGAUGMWRACUMGCUGUCCGGGCACUUGGUGCCUGGGUGGCGCAGCUAACGCAUUAAGUCUUCCGCCUGGGGA
rnacentral:rRNA from 1 species